UCUAAUGUGGCAGAAAAUAUGUGAUGGAUUUAAACCCCAUUUAUAAAGAUUAAUCUUUUUUUAGAA
rnacentral:tRNA from 1 species